rnacentral:lncRNA from 1 species
UCUAGAUAUCAUGAAACUUGUAUGUGUCACCUCUAGGAUAGAGCUGAUUUGAUAUAGGUUGAAUUUUUAAAAGAUAUCAAUAAAUGGACCAAUCCAUGGGGAUCUAAGAAGGAAAGAUGAUGUAUGAAUGAGAAGUCAAUAAAGACUGAAAAAAUUCUCCUGAAUAUUACCUUAUCAGGAAACCCUGACUCAUAGGGCUUCUAAUUUGCACUCCAUAGCAAUCCCUGACUCUCAACCCUUCUGACACUCGCUGUCCAGGUGAAUCCAUAGCCAAAGCCAAGGACAUAUCAGCAAUUUCGACUUGGUCUCUGGUCUCAUUGGUCAACAGGCAAGAGCUACAAUAGAAUAUGUACUUGGACUCAGGCUCAGAAAUUACCAAACUGUCAUAACUGACCCAAAGAUGCUUCCAUGGAAAGCACGUCCUUCACCAUAAGUUGCUUUUGUCUGUUUUUCAACAUUAGGUAAGUGAAAUAUGCAGUGUAUAUAUGUCCACUUUCUUUCACUGAACCAUUUAUAAAGUGUGUGCAUAUUAUUAAACAUACAAGUUGUUAUUUUUCAUUGCUAUAUAGUGUUAUUUUGGAUGAAUAUACCAC